rnacentral:rRNA from 1 species
GUAGGGGGCAAGCGUUGUCCGGAUUUAUUGGGCGUAAAGAGCGUGUAGGCGGCCAGAUAGGUCAGCUGUGAAAACUCGAGGCUCAACCUCGAAACGUCGGUUGAAACCAUCUGGCUAGAGUCCGGAAGAGGAGAGUGGAAUUCCCGGUGUAGCGGUGAAAUGCGCAGAUAUCGGGAAGAACACCCGUGGCGAAGGCGGCUCUCUGGGACGGUACUGACGCUGAGGCGCGAAAGCGUGGGGAGCAAACAGGAUUAGAUACCCUGGUAGUCCACGCUGUAAACGAUGGGCACUCGGUGCUGCGGGUAUCGACCCCUGCGGUGCCUGAGCUAACGCGUUAAGUGCCCCGCCUGGGGAGUACGGUCGCAAGGCUG